rnacentral:rRNA from 1 species
UACAGAGGUGGCAAGCGUUGUUCGGAAUUACUGGCGUAAAGGGCGAGUAGGUGGCCAUCUAAGUCAGACGUGAAAUCCCCGGCUUAACCUGGGAACUGCGUCUGAUACUGGACGGCUAGAGUAUGGAGAGGAUGUAGAAUUCCAGGUGUAGCGGUGAAAUGCGUAGAUAUCUGAGGAAUACCGGUGGCGAAGGCGGCAUCCUGGACCAUUACUGACACUGAACCGCGAAAGCUAGGGAG